rfam:Plasmodium inui San Antonio 1 unplaced genomic scaffold supercont1.35, whole genome shotgun sequence.
AAAAUAUAAGGCAGAAGGGCAGAUCCGCCAAAAAUUAGAAAAGUAAGCGGAAGAAAAGAAAAUAAACAAUGAUUCCUCUAGUAGCGCCAAGUGAACGAGGAAAAGCUCAAGCUGAAAAUCUUUCAAUAGAAAGAGGACCUUACGGGUGGUUUUUCCUCUUUCUGCAAAGAGUUGUAGCAUUUCAAAUGAGAGAUGAUUAUAUAACAUAUAGUACUACGGUAUUAUAUAAAUAUAUAGCAUAUCAGUAAACAUCCCUGAAAAUUUUAACCCCAUAUUUAUUUACAAGAAAACGAAAUUUUAAUGCAGGAUUGCAUUCCCACAGAGGGUGAAAGGCCCGUAGUUUUUGUAAAUAUAUACAAAAGAGUGUUGUUUUGGGGGGCGCAGCGGAAAAAGAUCUUUUCCCACUCUCCAUUCGGCAUCUCUUUAUUUUUCUUGGAUUUCUCUCAUUUAAGAGUCGUGUUCACGAAAUUGGAGCACUAAUAUGUGUGGUGCAUGGGAAGGGUUUUUGGUGGUGCUGUGGGUUGUUGGUCUGUCCUGCUCGAGGCUUUGCUUGUACCAAAGAGUGUGCAGGGGGAGUAAAGGUACGGAUAGGAUCAAAACUUUUUCACGGUGGUACGCCCCCUUCUCUCAACCUUUUUUUUUUUUAAAGAAAUUGUUGUUGUUAAAUCACAUAAAGCUAAAUAUGCGUAGGAGACCGAUAGCAAACAAGUACCGUAAGGGAAAGAUGAAAUAGUACUCAGGAAUGAGCGAUUAAAUAGUACCUGAAAUCGUUAAGGUGGAACGGAUUAAGGAAGAGAAAAAGUAAGGUGUACCAUAUUUGCUUCUUCGGCAUGUAUUCUCAAAGGUGUUACAUCUUUCACUGGGACUGGUUCUUCCAGCGUAUGAACAGAUUCCCUGCGGGACCUUUUCCGCAGCACAAUCUGCUUUCUUACCAGCGCGAGACACUUCGGAGUGGGAUCACUGGCACAGAGACAUGACUGGGGACGUGGAAUGGUGUAUCUUAUUUAAAGAAACAUCAGUAAAGGUUUUUUUUUUGGGGACGUUGCAGAGUGUGGAGCGGACACGGGGGAAGAGUUCAAGAAAAGAAGAGAAAGAAGGAGAAAGAGGCACAUAUAUAUAUGUACUACAUUGGGUUUGUGAUAUCCACUUCGCGUGGUGUUUCCUUCCCCAAUUGUAAUGUAUAUAUCUGUAUGUGUGUUUUUUUUUUUUUUUUUCCUUUUUUUGACCUCUUCCCUCGGUUUUCCCCCUGGCUAAGGAGGGGCGACAUAAAUUGUGAUAUAUUUCAGCUUGGUUUUAUGUCGGCUUCGCCACACAGUUGAAAGGACUUAUGGUUCUCCGUUUCACUCUCUCUCUCUUUCCCUUUCGCGGGGGUGUGCAGUGUUGUGGGUGGUGCGGGGACUGUUUGUGCUCUCAACUGUCUACGCAAUGUUAUUCCCCCCUUUACUGAGGGAGAUUAUAAAAAUAGUAAAAAACUGCAUGCGAAAGCGGCACUUUCUACUUUUUAAGAUGUUUCUAAAAAGGUCUUCCUUAACCCUCUCGUCUUGAAACACGAACCAAGGAGUCUAGCAGAUAUGCAAGCGAACGUGAUAAUAUAUAUAAAUAUAUAUGAAGUGAUUAUAAACAUAUGACUGCGGUGAUUAGUAGUGGUGUCUUUCAGCACAGCGAAACGAACCCAGCAAGUUUGCGCAUUGUGGUUUUUAAUCGAUCACCAUUGUAGAUUUGAAAUCCCUAGCUCGUGUUGUGUUUUCAUUUAAACCAACAAAAAAAACGAGCAGUGGAAUUUGAUGCUUACAUAUACGGUUAAGUUAGUAAUUAUAUAAUGGUUGCUUGACUACUGUAGGAGCAUAUAUGCUAGGACCCGAGAGGCUUUGAACUAAAAACCGCGUUGAAGUCCUGGAAAGGCAACAUAAAUUUCAACUGGGAGGGUUGUUAUUUCAUUUUGUGCGAAUUUGGGAUAGUUCACAUCAACCGCGCUUUUUAGGGGUACACGGAUAAUUAUAAACGCGUUGCCUUUACUGAAAAGCCUAUUAGCUGGUUAUUUUCGAAAGAUCUCUCAAGAUCGCUGAAGUCGGACGUGUACUUUUAUCUGCCACGUGACGGUUGUAAAUGAAAAGGAAGAGAUGGAGUAAUAGUAGUCUUGGAGGAGGAGAUCAUCUUUUUGAUAUUCUCCUUAAGGCUAUUUUUAUUUUUUUUUUUUCUUUCCAUUUUCAUUUUCUCUGUCGGAUGGGUAAUUCGCAAAGAGACUGAUGAGGUGGCAGGGAAGGGAAAAAGAAAAGAAAGGAGAAGAAAAAGUAGCGGCUUCAUUUUGGAGCAGUUAUUUCUUUUCUUUUUUUUUUUUUUUAAUACCUGUCUCUGCCUCUCUUCUCUUUGCGCAUGACAGAAUACGAGACUUCAAGUGGGCCAAUUUUGGUAAACAAAAAAUGGCAAUGAGGGAUGAACCUAAUGCCUGGAUAAGGUGCCUAAAUAUUCGCUCAUGAGAUCCAAAUUAAAAAGAAAGGUGUUGGUUCGUGGUGACAGCAGGGCGGUGCUCAGUGAAGUGGAGAUCCGCUAAGGAGUGUGUGACAACUCACCUGCCGAAUGAACUUGCCCUGGAAAAAUGGAUGGCGCUAAAGCGGAUUACCGAUACCAGGCCAUAAAAAGUGAAAUGGUUUCCAACCGAAGCCGCUCCAAUUUCUUGUGUCCUUUUGGCAGCUUUUUAUGAGUAGAAAAUCGUGGGGUUUUGUGCAGAAGCGAAAUACGUGAGUAUUCGUGGAACAUAUCCCUAGUGCAGAUCUUGGUGGAAGUAGCAAUUAUUCAAAUGAAAUACUUUGAAGGGCCUAUUAAGUAUAACUUAAUACAAUAGUAUUAUUAUACGGAUAAACUUUCCAAAUGUCUAUUGCCAUAACCUCCUUAUGGAGACAACAUGAUAGCCGCUCCCGCGGAAUCACUUUUUUUUUCUUCUUCUUCUCUUCGUCAGAAGUUUUGAAGGAAAAAAAAAGUGCAUUUGUGAAUAUAUAUGCGGAGAGGGUUUCACAAAAAACCCGCUACGUGCAAGAAUUUCUUCAUUGAUCCAUUGCACUGUGGUUGAGUAGUGUUUCCUUUUCUCCUUUUUCAGUUUCGCGGGGAAAUCAGGUUUAUAAACCCUGAGCAAUUAAUUCUUCGAGUUCUUAAAAGCUGGCGACAGACUGAUUUUUACAAUUUUUGAAAUUCUAUCGGAGAUGAUUCUCUCCCAUCGGUGUGCCGAUAGGUGUGUGUGCUGUUGUUGCAGCAGUUAAUAUUUUUUUAUAUUUUUCUGCUGCUUCAUCUAACACUCUCCCCCUGAUGCAUAGCCCACAACAUUAUAAGUGAAGCAAAAUCUCGCAGUACAGGUUGCCUUUUUAAACCUUGCGUAGAUGAGAGUGCAUAUGUUAUUAACAAAACUGUUACAAAUUUUUUUAAUUUGUGAACAUAUGAUGUUAAUAUACAAUGCUGUUUUUGCUGAAGCCUUUGGAACGGGAUAGGGAAAUGGAGAAGUAAAAAAAAAAAAAAAAAAAAAAAAAAAAAAAAAAAUGAAAGAAUAUCAUAAAUAAAAUUAAGCAUCGGUGUGAGGUUACUUCUGAAGUGUUCUACUUCUAUGUUGUUCCUCCCUUGUAAGCCUUUUUUUUCAUUCUUGAUUUGCUGCUUCUUUCAUUUUUUUUUUUUCUUUUUUUUUUUUUCUUUUUUUUUUUUUUUUUACAUGUCUCCUGCUCCCAUGCUGCUUUCCCAUAUGUUCUUUUGUGCGCACUUACUGGCCUAAUUCGUAGUAUAUUUUUAUAUGCGCAGUCGAAUUAUCCUUUGUGGAAGGGUUGUCGUGUAUUCAAAUGAUAGAGAUUGGAAAACAACGAAUCAUGUUACUAUAAGUAACCUGUCUGGGGUUUCCUAGGCGCUUUAACCUGCGGGUUCUCAAAUGUCGUUUGUAGAUGCAUCCCUUUCAGGUAGACGGUAUCAUGUAUGAUGAGGUUUUUUCUCUUCAUCUAUUCGUGUGCUCGAUUAAUUAAACUGAAGUAGUAUCUGUGGGCAGGAAUUUUUUAUCCACGCAACGGUUGAUAGCCAUAGGCCUUAAAGUUUACAACGUAUAGAUAGAGAGCAAGUCGUAUGAGGGGAGUAAGAAAACUGCAGAGGGGGGAUAUAUCAUGAUGGUCGUGGUGAGAAGUGGUGCACAUGUUGUAGUAAUAUACAUAUGUGUACUCGCUUCUCACCACGACCAUCAUGAUAUAUCCCCCUCUCACCCGUAACUUUCUUCUUUCUUUAGAAGAGGAAGCUUGCUCUGAUAACAUAGGAAAAGGGGACAAUAUAUAAAAAAGGGCGAAAUGGAACAUAGAGAAUUGGGAUCUGGUAUAAGGGACAUGUAAAGGGGUCUCUAUCCGUCUAGUUCGUCGGUUUUUUAUAGCCUGUCAUCACCCUUCGCCGUUUUGGUUAAGCUAUGCAGAUAUUAUGGCUUGAGAAAAAUAACAUAGGGAGUAGAAAUUUUAUGACCUGUACUAUUAUGCCUCCCACUAUUGAUGCAGAAGCUUGCUAUGUAUUAUCACAGCUGGAUCGGAACAGCAGUAAAAAAAGAGAAGGGGGGAGAAAAUAGAAAUCUACCCGGUUGUAUAGGAAAAUCAUGUGUCAUUGGUUUUUAUGACCUUCUAAGUAGGGGGGAAAAAAAAACCCAAAAAUGGCCGUUUCUUUCCGAUGCUUAGGGAUUGUGUCAUUUGGUAGAUAUUCCCCAUAAGCGGUAUUGGUGCGCACAGGUGUACACAUACACUCAAGCAUAUUAGGUUAUGUUUUUGAGUGUAGCCCUGCAUCUGUGUUUCUACCUCUCCGUGGCAAAGGACAGGAUUCAUAAAAAAGUGAAAUUCCUAUGCCAGUCAAAGUUGUGCCAUUUUGCACCCUGCAAUUUGAUACGUGAAUUUGAAUGGAGUAACCUCACCCAAAUGUAUAAGAGAGGGGGGUAGGUUCUCCCCAAAUACUUCUCGUGCUCAUCCCUCUACUAUAAAAUAUACUUGCUAUCUAGCGAAACCACAUCCAAGGGAAAACAGGCUUGGAAUGUCAGUAAAAGGAUAUUGAAGACCUUGUGUGUUUGUAACUUGACUCUUACUUGGAUCUGCUGAACGACUCAAGAGGUGUAGAGAAUCUUUGUAUAAGUGGGAGUAGAAGCAUAAUUUUGCGCUGGAGAAAUUAUGCAUUAUACGACAGUGAAAUACCACUACUUUUGAGGUUGUUCAGCUAACCCGUUAAAAAGAUUGGGAGGGGAGUACCUGCGACACUAUUUGACAGAAGUUGCUAUGGGAUACUUCUUCUUUAUACGUGCACAAAUGUGUGCAUGUGAAAUGGGGAAGGGGAUUAGAUAAAUAUAAAAUAACCAUUUUGGUUGAUUUGAUUUUAUUUUUUUUUCCCCUCUUCAUCCCCCCAGUUGAACGGAGACACAUUCAGGUGAAGGGUGUAGCGAACGGAUGAUGCGAGGGUCCAACUGAUAAGGAGUUAAAGCAGAUUGACCAGUCGAGGGCAAGCUCAAGGAGGACGGAAAUCUCCUGUGGACCGUGAAAAAGAGAAAAGAAAAAAACGGAUAUGCUUGCUUUUAUGUGUAGCCAUGAUCGAUAUGCAUACUCAUCCUCGCGGGAUAUUUGCUCCCCCUUUUUACAUUUAAAGAAAGGCAGAAUUAGCUCCUUAUAUGUACCAAAUGUAUAGAAGGGUUUAUCUCAGAAAGGUUACUACACAGGGAUAACUGACUUGCGGCUACCAAGCGAUUAUAGCAACGUGGCUUUUUUUUGAUUGAUUUUUAGAAUAUAGGCUCUUCCUAUCAUUGAGAUGAAGAAAUCUCAAAGUGUCGGAUUGUUCACUCCGCUAAGAGGGAACGGGUGCCUGGAAUUUACAGACCUUCAUGAGACAGGUCGUCUUUAAAAAGAAAUCCUUACUGAUGAAUAUAAAAUAAGAGACUGAUAUUACUUCGUCUAUCAAAAUGUGACAGUAAGCCAUCUUAGUACGAGAGGAAUGGUUGGCUUAGACAAUUGGUACAGCAAUUGGUUGAAAAACCUGUGUUGCGAAGCUAAGUCUGUAGGAUAAUGGCUGAACACCUCUUAAGCCAGAACCCUUGCUGAUUAAUUAUUUUGUAUUUGAUUUUCCUUAGACUACUUUUUUUACAAUUGUAAAGAAGGACAAUAUACAUGAACCCAUAUUUCUGUAUGAGUUCAUAAAUAAUCCCUUUAGGGCGCAUUUUGGCUACCUGUACUUUCCCCGGUACAGGGUGUCAGAUGAGCUUUCAACUGCAGAGCAUAUAAGGAAAAUUUUUUUCGUUUGUAGACCACAUAGAUUUUCUCGAGGUGCUGUAAAUAUGAAAGUAAGCUUUGUCUUACGAUCUAUUGAGGCUCAUCCUGGGUGAAAGAUUUUU